rnacentral:pre_miRNA from 9 species
UCUCGAUAGUGUAAAAGUUAACUCAAAAUUACGGAGUUGGAACGUUUGUUUAGGUUUGCCACUAGGGGCGCUGUUCCAACUGCAUAAAAAUUUGAGUUAACUUUUACGCAAUCGA